GGAAUCCUGCUGGAGAUCCCUGUGUACCUGAGGCCUUUCAAGGGCUGUUGGUCCAUAAAGUAUCAAAGAGGCCCUAAAACAUGCUUAGAACAGCAGCACAGAGCCAGUAUGAGCUGGAGGAUGCAGCUAUAGAUAGCCAUGUGUAUCUGUCCUUGGCAGAGCCAUUCUCUGGGCUCAUGCCCUAAAGAACUGCCUGAAAAGCGCAGAUGGGACAGGGAAAGCAAAGAGAAGCAUGCACUGCCCCAGGCACGAAGGAGCAUAGAACCUGCACAGCAAUUCCCCUCAUGUUCCAGCAGGGGAAACUGAGGCACGAAGGCAAAUCCAAAGCCAGCUGUGUUGCUCCCUGUGUGCCACAGACCAACCAGGUGCAGCCUGAGGGAUGCUGGGUUCCACACCUGCCCCCAGCUUGUGGCUGCCCGUGCCUUGAAUUAUUGACCAGCAGCCCCUGGGGGCCAUUCUGCAGCAGUGAUGUUGCACUCAGCCCCAGCAUCUCUCACACCCUCCACUGGUGCUGUGAAGCCUUCAAGGGAGGAGAGCUCUGCAGCAUUCAGAGCAUGGGAGCACCAGCAUGUCAAGACCAGAGAAAGAGCGUGAAUUUCUAGUCCGAAAACAAGAGAGGAUAAAAUGCUUUUCUCCCCCCUCACAAGGACUGGCACGUCCUUGGUUCUUCCCAAACACACGUGUGGGAGAACAAGAGCAGGCUCUUUCCAGGACACCGCGGCACUCUCUGGUUACAGUGCUGUGGCAGCUCCUCUGGGCCAAGUGCCACCUGGAAGGACAAGUUGUUUGAAAGACAGUGCUGUACUCAGACAGCACAUCAUGGCUUCAACCCCAGCAGGAGUUCAGUAACAGGAAAGCCUUGCUGGAUGCUGGACAGGCUUCCCUGAGAAGGUUAGUUCCCAUUCUACGAGGCACGUAGCAGUUGGCAGCUUCCCCAUCAGCUUGUAUGUACCUGCAAACUAAACAUGGCCUCACAAAGCAUGUGGUGAAGAUCUGGCCAAGAGGACAGCACCAGGUGGUCACCCAGCCCUGCUCCUGCCUGCUGUUUUGAGCAAAUCUGGAUGGACCCGAGAAUACUUUUAGGCGUUAAUGAAGAACGGUCACUG
rnacentral:lncRNA from 7 species